rnacentral:rRNA from 1 species
CAUGCAGUCGAGGGGUAUAGUUCUUCGGAGCUAGAGACCGGCGCACGGGUGCGUAACGCGUAUGCAAUCUACCUUUUACAGAGGGAUAGCCCAGAGAAAUUUGGAUUAAUACCUCAUAGUAUAUAGCCCUGGCAUCAGGAUUAUAUUAAAGUCACAACGGUAAAAGAUGAGCAUGCGUCCCAUUAGCUAGUUGGUAAGGUAACGGCUUACCAAGGCUACGAUGGGUAGGGGUCCUGAGAGGGAGAUCCCCCACACUGGUACUGAGACACGGACCAGACUCCUACGGGAGGCAGCAGUGAGGAAUAUUGGACAAUGGGCGCAAGCCUGAUCCAGCCAUGCCGCGUGCAGGAUGACGGUCCUAUGGAUUGUAAACUGCUUUUAUACGAGAAGAAACACUCCGACGUGUCGGAGCUUGACGGUAUCGUAAGAAUAAGGAUCGGCUAACUCCGUGCCAGCAGCCGCGGUAAUACGGAGGAUCCAAGCGUUAUCCGGAAUCAUUGGGUUUAAAGGGUCCGUAGGCGGUUUAAUAAGUCAGUGGUGAAAGCCCAUCGCUCAACGGUGGAACGGCCAUUGAUACUGUUAGACUUGAAUUAUUAGGAAGUAACUAGAAUAUGUAGUGUAGCGGUGAAAUGCUUAGAGAUUACAUGGAAUACCAAUUGCGAAGGCAGGUUACUACUAAUUGAUUGACGCUGAUGGACGAAAGCGUGGGUAGCGAACAGGAUUAGAUACCCUGGUAGUCCACGCCGUAAACGAUGGAUACUAGCUGUUGGGAGCAAUCUCAGUGGCUAAGCGAAAGUGAUAAGUAUCCCACCUGGGGAGUACGUUCGCAAGAAUGAAACUCAAAGGAAUUGACGGGGGCCCGCACAAGCGGUGGAGCAUGUGGUUUAAUUCGA